AGUCGUAACAAGGUUUCCGUAGGUGAACCUGCGGAAGGAUCAUUAUCGAAACCUGCUAAGCAGACGACCUGUGAACAUGUAAAAAAGUACCUAAGUGGAUUGUUGAUGGGCGUGAGCCCUGAUUCGUCUGCUUGCUGGGCCGUGGAGUCGAUUGCAUCCCUUGUGGUUGCGGUCGCUUUGCGUUCUGGCACAACAUCAAAAUCCGGUGCGGUUGGCGUCAAGGAAAUCUUAGUGGAAACAAAAGCGUUGUGCCUUCACCGGUAUAAUGCCAAGAAUCCCAUUACUCAAACGACUCUCGGCAACGGAUAUCUCGGCUCUU
rnacentral:misc_RNA from 1 species